rfam:Aedes albopictus isolate Foshan contig89903, whole genome shotgun sequence.
AGCUCGAUAGCUUAGUAGGUAAAUCACUUGUCUUACGUAUAAGGGUCCUGAGUUCAAAUCACACCUGAGCUG